rnacentral:lncRNA from 1 species
UUGAGAACUGAAGGACAGAUGAAGAAUGUGCUAGCCAAAAUUUCCGCACUUCAUGUUGAGGCAUCAUGUUUGUCUCAAGUAGUUUUCAGGAGUGUCCUCCCAGAUAGCUUGAGAAAAUUUGCUCGCAGGCAAAACCUGGUAAGAAUGUUUAAGAAGAGGUAAAUAGUCCCGAUUUGGAUGAGACAAAAGUCAACCGAACCCAGU